rnacentral:rRNA from 1 species
CGUUGUUCGGAAUCACUGGGCUUAAAGGGCGCGUAGGCGGGUGCUCAAGUCCGGGGUGAAAUCCUCCAGCUCAACUGGAGAACUGCCUCGGAUACUGGGUGUCUCGAGUGUGGUAGGGGUAUGCGGAACUAUCGGUGGAGCGGUGAAAUGCGUUGAUAUCGAUAGGAACUCCGGUGGCGAAGGCGGCAUACUGGACCACUACUGACGCUGAUGCGCGAAAGCCAGGGGAGCAAACGGG